rnacentral:tRNA from 1 species
GGGAAGUUGGCUCAGUGGUAGAGUGCUUGCCUUGCAUGCAUGAGACCCUGGGUUCAAUUCCUCAGCAUCACA